rnacentral:rRNA from 1 species
AUUGAACGCUGGCGGCAGGCCUAACACAUGCAAGUCGAACGCGUGGCGGACGGGUGAGUAAUGUCUGGGAAACUGCCCGAUGGAGGGGGAUAACUACUGGAAACGGUAGCUAAUACCGCAUACCAUCGGAUGUGCCCAGAUGGGAUUAGCUUGUAGGUGGGGUAACGGCUUACCAAGGCAACGAUGCAUAGCCGGCCUGAGAGGGUGAUCGGCCACACUGGAACUGAGACACGGUCCAGACUCCUACGGGAGGCAGCAGUGGGGAAUAUUGCACAAUGGGCGCAAGCCUGAUGCAGCCAUGCCGCGUGUAUGAAGAAGGCCUUCGGGUUGUAAAGUACUUUCAGCGGGGAGGCGUUACUCGCAGAAGAAGCACCGGCUAACUCCGUGCCAGCAGCCGCGGUAAUAC